UCCUCUGUAGUUCAGUCGGUAGAACGGCGGACUGUUAAUCCGUAUGUCACUGGUUCGAGUCCAGUC
rnacentral:tRNA from 4 species